AGCAGCCGCGGUAAUUCCAGCUCCAAUAGCGUAUAUUAAAGUUGUUGCAGUUAAAAAAGCUCGUAGUUGAAUUUCGAAAUUUUUUUAUCGGUUGAAUCAACAGGUUCGUACUGAUUUUAAGAAUUUCUACCUUCUGGAGAACCUUAAUGUCAUUUAUUUGAUGUUUUGGGAAACCAGGACUGUUACCUUGAAAAAAUUAGAGUGUUUAAAGCAGGCUUAUGUCUGAAUAUAUUAGCAUGGAAUAAUGAAAUAGGACGGCAUGGUUCUAUUUUGUUGGUUUCUAGGAUCACCGUAAUGAUUAAUAGGGAUAGUUGGGGGCAUUAGUAUUCAAUUGUCAGAGGUGAAAUUCUUGGAUUUAUUGAAGACUAACUUCUGCGAAAGCAUUUGCCAAGGAUGUUUUCAUUAAUCAAGAACGAAAGUUAGGGGAUCGAAGACGAUCAGAUACCGUCGUAGUCUUAACCAUAAACUAUGCCGACUAGGAAUCGGACGAAGUUAAUUUUUAAUGACUCGUUCGGCGCCU
rnacentral:rRNA from 1 species